rnacentral:rRNA from 1 species
UACAGAGGGCCCAAGCGUUGUUCGGAUUCAUUGGGCGUAAAGGGUGCGUAGGCGGGUCUGUAAGGCAGGGGGGAAAUCCUGGAGCUCAACUCCAGAACUGCCUUUGAUACUGGGAAUCUCGAGUCCGGGAGAGGUGAGUGGAACUGCGAGUGUAGAGGUGAAAUUCGUAGAUAUUCGCAAGAACACCAGUGGCGAAGGCGGCUCACUGGCCCGGUACUGACGCUGGGGUGCGAAAGCGUGGGGAGCAAACAGG